UACGGGGGGAGCAAGCGUUGUUCGGAUUUACUGGGCGUAAAGGGCGCGUAGGCGGUCGUGACAAGUCACUUGUGAAAUCUCCGGGCUUAACCCGGAGCGGCCAAGUGAUACUGUCGUGCUAGAGUGCGGAAGGGGCUACUGGAAUUCUCGGUGUAGCGGUGAAAUGCGUAGAUAUCGAGAGGAACACCUGCGGCGAAGGCGGGUAGCUGGGCCGACACGUGACGCUGGAGGCGCGAAAGCCAGGGGAGCGAACGGG
rnacentral:rRNA from 1 species